UUUGAGGUCUUUCUAGACAUGUUUCAUCUACUGUUUUCCAAAACUUAUAUCACCCAUCCCUUUCAGAACUUGUUCAAGUUCCAACCUUUGCUUAAAACGUGUUUCCUGUGCUUCGAAUCAGUAUCUAUAUUCUAUUUACCUUGAACCUGCUACUGUGUAUGUAUGUUUUCUCAUGAGACUUUGAAAGAGAUCUUUGAGCCUGUUUAGUUAUUUGUCUUCUCGUCUGUGUAUCUGAUUCAAGUCAAGAACCCCCACCCCAG
rnacentral:lncRNA from 1 species